GAUGAAAAGGCAAUUGUUAUCAGUAUCAAAAUCCUCCUCACCUUUUUUCCUAAUAUAAGCUGUAUAAAUAUCAAUGAUAAAAGUUGUGUUCUCUUACCCUUUGUGACUGAACAUAUUCACAAGAGAUAAAACUGUCUGUCAAAGUGUCAGGAUAAAUAUGAGACUCAUAGCUCUGUAAAAACAGGGCUUUAUGCAUGUGCAUAGUGUUGUGCCAGAUUAGCCUCAUUUUUACCCUUUAAGAAAGUCUCUUCUAGACAAAAAUCAAGUCUAGUUGGAAAUAUGUCAUCCCUGAUAAUCCUGUGUAGACUGCAAAAGCAAAUCUAGGCCGACAUUUAAUAACACACAUGCAUUAAGCCUUGUCUUCCCAGAACAAGGCUCAUACGCAUGAAAUUAUUUAUGUGUUACCAAAAUUAAUGUCUUAUAAACCUGUGGCAAGACCAGGGCUGGAUCAAGCAUGAUGUAACUACCUGCUGAAUAUUGCAAUACUUACAUUCCUCUGCCCCUCUGUUAGAUAGAAUGAUACAUGUACCUGUCUACUGUAUUUUGGUUUUGAUGCAUUUUGUUCAUGGAUUGUUUUAUCUUCUGUUGUGCAGUCAAGCGCUACGGUGAGUUAUGGUCAGAAUUCAUCCCUUUGCAUUAUAAGAGUUUAAAUUAUAAUGAGUGUUAUAUAUAUAUAUAUAAAUCAAAACAAACUGUUUCAUUAAAAAAAAUGCAUUAGGGAAAAUGGGUUCACAGAUACAUGUAGGUUAACUCUCUAAUUAAAUAUUUAUGCCCCCCUUCGAAGAAGAGGGGGUAUAUUGCUUUGCACAUGUCGGUCGGUAGGUCUGUCGGUCUGUCUGUCGGUCGGUCCGUCCGUCCACCCAGUGGUUUCCGGAUGAUAACUCAAGAACGCUUGGGGCUAGGAUCAUGAAACUUCAUAGGUACAUUGAUCAUGACUUGCAGAUGACCCCUAUUGAUUUUGAGGACACUAGGUCAAAGGUCAAGGUCACGGUGACCCGAAAUAGUAAAAUGGUUUUCGGAUGAUAACUCAAGAAUGCAUACGCCUAGGAUCAUGAAACUUCAUAGGUAGAUUGAUCAUGACUCGCAGAUGACCCCUAUUGAUUUUGAGGUCACAAGGUCAAAGGUCAAGGUCACGGUGACCCGAAAUAGUAAAAUGAUUUUCGGAUGAUAACUCAAGAACUCUUUUGCCUAGGAUCAUGACACUUCAUAGGUACAUUGAUCGUGACUCGCAGAUGACCCCUAUUGAUUUUCAGGUCACUAGGUCAAAGGUCAAGGUCACAGUGACAAAAAUCGUAUUCACACAAUGGCUGCCACUACAACGGACAGCCCAUAUGGGGGGCAUGCAUGUUUUACAAACAGCCCUUGUCUAAUGUAUCAUCUGUUUUAGCACAUUGUAAUCAUAAAUGAGCAGGCAACAAUAAGUCAUAUACCAUAUGCAACCAGGGUAGCCUGACCAGCUUGCCCAAUCCUGCAGUUAAGUCAGGAGCUACCAUGUCUGCUAUAAAGUCACCCAAGGUUUCGUGGUCUCAUAAGUGGACAGGGUAGCCUGACCAGCCUGCCCAAUCCUGCAGUUCAGUCAGGAGCUACCAUGUCUGCUAUAAAGUCACCCAAGGUUUCGUGGUCUCAUAAGUGGACAUGGUAGCUCCUGACCAGACAGCGAUUCCCACAAUUGGUGGGAGCAACUCUGGCAGCAUAUGGAAUAAUACCCAUUUUUGCAUGAGGCGAUACAAGUUAAGUUAAGUUAGUACUUAGUUGGUAUCUGUCUGAGUGAAAUGUUCUCAAUGUAACUUCUUUUUCCGUGACACUUCCUUACUAACUUAAUAACACCUGGUUUGAUUUGUCAUUAUGACGCAACAAAUGCUUUUUGCAUGUGGAUGCAUGUAACACACUUUUUAUUCCAGAAACCUAAAAUAAACUUAAAAUUUACUCUUUGUUCUUAACUUAGUUUCAGGAUAAAUAACAUGUUCAUGACCUUUUUAGCCCACCUGAGCACAAGGUGCUUAUUGGAGCUUUUGUAAUCGCCUUUUGUCGGUCGUGUGUUGUCAAGCGUGCGGCGUCAGCAUUGGCCUUGUUUACACUCUAGAGGUUGCAAUUUUUGUCUAAUCUUAAUCAUACUUUGUCAGAAGUUUUGUCCCAAUUAUAUCUUGGACGACUAUGAAAACUGUUCCAAUUGGUUGCAAAACAUAAAUGCUAGGUGCUGGCAUUUUUCCUGCUAUAGCUAAAGUAAAACCUUGUUAAAAAGCCAGAAGUCAUGUUUUUUGUCCAAACUUCAUGACAUUUUGUCAGAUUAUUUGUUUUAAUGAUAUUUUUGAUAAAUUCAAAAUGGUUCUGGUCUUUAGAAAAACAUGGCCGCCAGGGGGCGGAGCAUUUUUCCUUAUAUGGCGAUAGUAAAACCUUAUUAACACUCUUAAAGUCAUAUUUUGUUCUCCAAUCUUUAUGAAACUUUGUCAGAACAUUGGUUCUAAUGAUAUCUAGGCUGAGUUUUUAAAUGGUUUCUGUCUGUUCAUUUACCUUUUUUGUCCACUCGAUGCUUCAUUACCCUUUUAGGAAUUUUCUUGGUGACUCACUGUCAUACCUAAAGGUCAAAGGUUUGAGUCUCUUUUUUGUGUCUGGUCCAUACCAAUUGAAGGAUAAUGAUGAAACAAGGCAUAAAUGUAAUAUUCAUUGAGAUGAUAUGCAGAGGCAUGAGUCAGUCACACUUGUUUAAGGUCAAGGUCACUAUUGAAGGUCAAAAGUUUGAGCUUCUGCUUUUGUUUCCUCUCCAUUUCUCUUACACCCUUAGAUGUAUUUCCUUUAAAAUGGCCAAAAUUGUGAUGGUCAUUGAGAAAAAGUACAGAAUGGAUUUGCAUGUGCUGCAGGAAAAAGUUCAAAGUCAUUCUUGAAGGCAAUGAGUGUUUUGCAUUCAUUUUUAUGUCUGCUCCAUAUCUCCUAUACCCGUUGAGGGAUUUUCAUGAAACUUAGCCACACUGUUAAUGACAUUAAAACAAAGUGCAGUAGGUAUGAGUCAGUCAAGGACACACUUGAAGGCCAAUAAGUUCAGCCUUAUUUGUUUUUUCACCUGCUUUAUUUUUCCUAUACCCAUUAAAGGACUGUACAAAAAGUUAAUCACACAGAUAUCCACAUGAAAUGAGUCCAUCAGGCUGCUCAAAGUGAAGGUCACCAAUUCAAGGUGUAAAGAAUUGUUGCCAAAGAUAAACAUUUCUCUUAAUUGUUCCAUUAGAAAUCAACACAAUGAUCUGGUUGUGUAAGUUAACCUAUGAAUGGUGUCUUAUAUUCCAAGGAGACAGAGUUGUAUGAUUACCAGCAGGUAUUGGUUAUAUGGUUUGAGCUAUGCAUAAUUAUCUGAUUGUUUAAGUAGAACCAUCAAAAUUACAUGUAAAUAUAUAUUCUGCUUAUAUUUAAGCUGUGCAUAAUUUGCCUGUGUGUUAUGAUAAGACAAUGUAAGAUAUGAAUGAUUACCUGUGUGUUAUGAUUAUACGAUGUAAACUAUGUGCCUUAAAAAAAUUGUUCUGGGCUAAAUGCAUGUGCGUAAAGUGUUUUCCAAAGUAAGCCUGUGCAGUCUGCACAGGCUUAUUGGUAAUGACACUUCUCGCUUUUAUGAAAUUUUUCAUUAAAAAAAAAUCUUCUCUUCUUAGAGAAAAUUCCGUUUGGCCAAAAGUGGCGUCCCUGAUUAGCCUUUGCAGACUGCAUAAGCCAAUCUGGGACAACACUUCACACAUAUGUAUAAAGCCCAGUUUUCCCUUAAAGAGGCCCAUACAAUGUAAUCCAUGCGUAAUUGCCUCCAUGUUCUCAU